CCUACGUGAUGCAGCAGUGAGGAAUAUUGGUCAAUGGGCGCGAGCCUGAACCAGCCAAGUAGCGUGAAGGAUGACUGCCCUACGGGUUGUAAACUUCUUUUAUCAAGGAAUAAAGUGAGGCACGUGUGCCUUUUUGUAUGUACUUUAUGAAUAAGGAUCGGCUAACUCCGUGCCAGCCGCCGCGGUAAUACGGGGGAUCCGAGCGUUAUCCGGAUUUAUUGGGUGUAAAGGGAGCGUAGAUGGGUUGUUAAGUCAGUUGUGAAAGUUUGCGGCUCAAACGUAAAAUUGCAAUUGAUACUGGCAGUCUUGAGGACAGUUGAGGUAGGCGGAAUUCGUGGUGUAGCGGUGAAAUGCUUAGAUAUCACGAAGAACUCCGAUUGCGAAGGCAGCUUACUAAACUGCCACUGACAUUGAUGCUCGAAAGUGUGGGUAUCAAACAGGAUUAGAUACCCGAGUAGUC
rnacentral:rRNA from 1 species